CCAACCGUAUCCCGGGCAUCAAAAGCAGCGUGGCCAGCAGGGCGAGGGAGGGGAUUCUGCCCCCCUGCUCCUCUCCGGUGAGACCCCACCUGGAGUACUGCAUCCAGCUCCGGAGCCCCCAGUGUAAGAAGGACAUGGAGCUGUUGGAGUGGGUCCAGAGGAGGGUGUCGCAGCUGAGUGGAAUGCACCUCACUCAAGAGAAGCAGCAGUAUGUUUUAUUGAGUUGUAUUUGGAAGAUGGCAAGAGACAAAAAACCACUGAAAACUGAGGGAGUAUUUGAGUGAAUGGCUGCCCUAAAUUGAAUUCCCUUGGGGACCUUAAAGAAGAUCAACCAAGUGCCGGAAAGUGCAGAUGGUACCUUCAACAGCGUGCUGGCAAGGCACUGACAGCCUUGGGAGCUGCUCGGCUGCAGGGAGCUGGCUGCCACAUGGUGCCAAGCAACACAGGUCCCCUUCGGAUGCUGGGUGGGGCUAUAAGGUCUCCCCGGAGCCUUCUCUUCUCCAGGCUGAACACCCCCAAACUCUCUCAACCUGUCUUCAUAGCAGAGGUGCUCCAGCCCUCUGAGCAUCUUUGUGGCCUCCUUUGGACCUGCUCCAACAGGUCCACGUCCUUCUUAUGUUGGGGGCCCCAGAGCUGGACACGGUACUGCAGGUGGGGUCUCACCAGAGCGGAGCAGAGGGGCAGAAUCCCCUCCCUCGUCCUGCUGGCCACGCUGCUUUUGAUGCAGCCCGGAACGGGGCUGGCUUUCUGGGCUGCGAGCGCACAUUGCCGGCUCAAUGCUCAAUCAUUCCUCAAAAACACGCGUGAAACCCCCGAA